GCUAUUUUGGCAGAGUAAAUGUAUUGGUUUUAGAAGUCAAUUUAUAUAUAAAUUAAUUUAUAUAGAUAGUA
rnacentral:tRNA from 1 species